CCCUACGGGGCGCAGCAGGCGCGAAAACUUUACAAUGCGGGAAACCGUGAUAGGGGAACUCUGAGUGCCCGUUAAAUCGGGCUGUCCACCAGUUUAAACAACUGGUGAAGAAAGGGCCGGGCAAGACCGGUGCCAGCCGCCGCGGUAAUACCGGCGGCUCGAGUGGUGGCCACUAUUACUGGGCUUAAAGCGUUCGUAGCUGGUUUGUUAAGUCUCUGGGGAAAUCUUCCGGCUUAACCGGAAGGCGUCUCAGGGAUACUGGCAGACUAGGGACCGGGAGAGGUGAGGGGUACUCCAGGGGUAGGAGUGAAAUCCUGUAAUCCUUGGGGGACCACCUGUGGCGAAGGCGCCUCACCAGAACGGCUCCGACAGUGAGGGACGAAAGCUGGGGGAGCAAACCGGAUUAGAUACCCGGGUAGUCCCAGCCGUAAACGAUGUGCGUUAGGUGUAUCGGUGACCACGAGUCACCGAGGUGCCGAAGAGAAAUCGUGAAACGUACCGCCUGGGAAGUACGGUCGCAAGGCUGAAACU
rnacentral:rRNA from 1 species